GCUGCUUUGCUGACGAGUGGCGGACGGGUGAGUAAUGUCUGGGAAACUGCCUGAUGGAGGGGGAUAACUACUGGAAACGGUAGCUAAUACCGCAUAACGUCGCAAGACCAAAGAGGGGGACCUUCGGGCCUCUUGCCAUCGGAUGUGCCCAGAUGGGAUUAGCUUGUUGGUGGGGUAACGGCUCACCAAGGCGACGAUCCCUAGCUGGUCUGAGAGGAUGACCAGCCACACUGGAACUGAGACACGGUCCAGACUCCUACGGGAGGCAGCAGUGGGGAAUAUUGCACAAUGGGCGCAAGCCUGAUGCAGCCAUGCCGCGUGUAUGAAGAAGGCCUUCGGGUUGUAAAGUACUUUCAGCGGGGAGGAAGGGAGUAAAGUUAAUACCUUUGCUCAUUGACGUUACCCGCAGAAGAAGCACCGGCUAACUCCGUGCCAGCAGCCGCGGUAAUACGGAGGGUGCAAGCGUUAAUCGGAAUUACUGGGCGUAAAGCGCACGCAGGCGGUUUGUUAAGUCAGAUGUGAAAUCCCCGGGCUCAACCUGGGAACUGCAUCUGAUACUGGCAAGCUUGAGUCUCGUAGAGGGGGGUAGAAUUCCAGGUGUAGCGGUGAAAUGCGUAGAGAUCUGGAGGAAUACCGGUGGCGAAGGCGGCCCCCUGGACGAAGACUGACGCUCAGGUGCGAAAGCGUGGGGAGCAAACAGGAUUAGAUACCCUGGUAGUCCACGCCGUAAACGAUGUCGACUUGGAGGUUGUGCCCUUGAGGCGUGGCUUCCGGAGCUAACGCGUUAAGUCGACCGCCUGGGGAGUACGGCCGCAAGGUUAAAACUCAAAUGAAUUGACGGGGGCCCGCACAAGCGGUGGAGCAUGUGGUUUAAUUCGAUGCAACGCGAAGAACCUUACCUGGUCUUGACAUCCACGGAAGUUUUCAGAGAUGAGAAUGUGCCUUCGGGAACCGUGAGACAGGUGCUGCAUGGCUGUCGUCAGCUCGUGUUGUGAAAUGUUGGGUUAAGUCCCGCAACGAGCGCAACCCUUAUCCUUUGUUGCCAGCGGUCCGGCCGGGAACUCAAAGGAGACUGCCAGUGAUAAACUGGAGGAAGGUGGGGAUGACGUCAAGUCAUCAUGGCCCUUACGACCAGGGCUACACACGUGCUACAAUGGCGCAUACAAAGAGAAGCGACCUCGCGAGAGCAAGCGGACCUCAUAAAGUGCGUCGUAGUCCGGAUUGGAGUCUGCAACUCGACUCCAUGAAGUCGGAAUCGCUAGUAAUCGUGGAUCAGAAUGCCACGGUGAAUACGUUCCCGGGCCUUGUACACACCGCCCGUCACACCAUGGGAGUGGGUUGCAAAAGAAGUAGGUAGCUUAACCUUCGGGAGGGCGCUUACCACUUUGUGAUUCAUGACUGGGGUGAAGUCGUAACAAGGUAACCGUAGGGGAACCUGCGGUUGGAUCAC
rnacentral:rRNA from 1 species